rnacentral:rRNA from 1 species
UAAUGUCUGGGAAACUGCCUGAUGGAGGGGGAUAACUACUGGAAACGGUAGCUAAUACCGCAUAACGUCGCAAGACCAAAGAGGGGGACCUUCGGGCCUCAUGCCAUCAGAUGUGCCCAGAUGGGAUUAGCUAGUAGUGGGGUAAUGGCUCACCUAGGCGACGAUCCCUAGCUGGUCUGAGAGGAUGACCAGCCACACUGGAACUGAGACACGGUCCAG